CAAGCCCUUGAUCAUGUGGACCCUUACUUAAAAAGGCAUGGAUGUGAUCUAAUAUAAGAUUAUUCCUUGAUUUUCUAAGGUUCCUCACGAUGUGCACACAUGAAGGUUGUUGGACCGUUCAGAUGCUCCUUCAGCGCGCCGUCAUCCUCUUGUCCCCUAGCCAACGUCGAUGACACUUUGGCAUUGAGGAGAAAGUAUUGCAUCACACAUGUGGAUGUUGCUUGAUUCCCUGGAUUCUGGAUCUCCUUGGGAAAAAGAAUACAUGUGUUUCAUCACUCUCCAUUAAUUAUAUGGGGUUUUCACAUUUACAAGUGUUGCAUUUAACGGGAUUUGAGAGGAAAGAGCAGUACUGUUUGUUUAUUUCAAUGUUGAACGUGGUUCCGACUAAAAACGCAAGCUGACAGAGGAGUUUCAGUUUCUUGUGAGGCAGCAUGCUACUGAAUGGAAAAGCCAAGUUAAUACACAGGAACCUGCCGCCCCAAGCACUAGCCAGAAAUGGAGCCCCCCUCCAGAGGAUUGACUGAUGAUUAGUUGUGAUGGAGCUUACUCAAAAAGCACUUCUGAAGGAGGGUAGGGUGUAGCAGCUUGUGAUCAUGAAGGUGACUUUGCCGCUUCUGGACAGCAGAGUCAAGCUAUGCAUGCCGAAGCAUUCACGGUCAAAAAGGCGCUGUUUUUAGCCGAGCAGAGGGGGAUUGGAAGGAUCGUUUUGGAAACUGAUUGCAGGAACCUGAUUGCGGCUGUGAAAUUCAAUGCCUGCAACAGUUCAAGCCUUGGUACCCAUUUGCUAGCAGCAAACGAUGCAGGGGAAAGCCACGGUUUCCAUGCUACUUGGGAAUUGGGACGUGAGCUACCAUGAUGAUGUAAACCAUUUGGUGGCCUGUUAUUUAACUGGGCCUUAAUGGAAUACGAGUGUUCCAUUCAAAAAAAAGGAUGUGGUUCGACGCCAAAUUGCAUUUUAGUAUUUCACGGUGGAGCACUUUGAAGGUGGGUGUAUUAAAGAGGAGACCCGGCAGGCUGAGGCCCUCUUGGCUACAUUUGAACAACGCAAAGAUGAGGAUGAU